CAACCUGUUGCUCUUCGGCGUGACCGCGCCGUUCGCGGCGGCGCUGAUGGACCGGUUCGGCAUCCGGCAGGUGGUC
rnacentral:tRNA from 1 species